GAUGAACGCUGGCGGCGUGCCUAAUACAUGCAAGUCGAGCGAACGGACGAGAAGCUUGCUUCUCUGAUGUUAGCGGCGGACGGGUGAGUAACACGUGGAUAACCUACCUAUAAGACUGGGAUAACUUCGGGAAACCGGAGCUAAUACCGGAUAAUAUUUUGAACCGCAUGGUUCAAAAGUGAAAGACGGUCUUGCUGUCACUUAUAGAUGGAUCUGCGCUGCAUUAGCUAGUUGGUAAGGUAACGGCUUACCAAGGCAAGGAUGCAUAGCCGACCUGAGAGGGUGAUCGGCCACACUAGAACUGGGACACGGUCCAGACUCCUACGAGAGGCAGCAGUAGGGAAUCUUCCGCAAUGGGCGAAAGCCUUACGGAGCAACGCCGCGUGAGUGAUGAAGGUCUUCGGAUCGUAAAACUCUGUUAUUAGUUAAGAACAGAUGUGUAAGUAACUGUGCACAUCUUGACGGUACCUAAUCAGAAAGCCACGGCUAACUACGUG
rnacentral:rRNA from 1 species